GGUAAAUUUUUUCUUUAAAUCCAUAUUACAGAUAUAUGCCUUGGAGAGAGUCCUAUUAUGCUCUCAAAGAAGAGUAUAAAAUUUCAACUUGUUUCAAAGCCAUAUGUCAAUGGACUUUGAAAAUAUUUGAGGUAUUACAAAAACUUUAACAUAAGUGGUUACGCCGACGCGGACGCCGACGCUCGGGUGACUACAAUAGCUCUACUUAUUCUUAUCGAAUAGUCGAGCUAAAAAUGA